rnacentral:snoRNA from 1 species
GAAUAAACUCAAGCUGAUGACCCACUGAGCCAUCAAGAAAGGGCAAAGGAAAAACACCGCUUUUGGGUGAAGCAGCAGAAUGUUGUGUUGCUUUGCUUCAAUCGGUGGUGUGACAAGG